GUUCUAAGAAAAAUAUAUUGAUCUUGUAACUAAAAUGUACAAUCAUCCUUUAUUAAAUAAAAUCAUGAGAAAUUAACUAACCUUUUUGCUAGCUAAUCCACUUACUACAUUCUGCAAGUCUUCAAGUUUUAUCUACAAAUCUGCUUGUGUGGCUCCAAGCUUCUCCACAUUUGAAUCCCUACCUAACAUAAAUGCUAACUUACUGGCAGUAACCCCUCUGCCCAUUCCCCUGAGUCUUCCAGGUUUGUCUUUUCCUAAAACUUGACUAACAACAUCUACUUUCAGACUUGUUGUUGAUGAGGAGGCCAUUUCACUCUCAAUUGAUUUGAUUUUUUCCUGGUACAAUUUUGUCAGCACAAUUAUAGAAGUCACCAAAACAAAACCAACAAAAUUAUGAGUUCUUCUAAUAGUCUCUGCAAAUUCUGGCCUGACAGGUCUCCCAUCUGCAUAUGUUUGUCGUGCUAGCCAUACCUUGCUUCUGGACACUGUUUUAAGGUUAGCAGUCUUCUUUUUCUACAGAUGAGACAUAUCAAUAUAUAGUAGCCAAUCAAGUAUUAAUCUUAUAAUAACAAGUACUAGCUAGAUAUAUACCAGCUCAUGAGCUAGGCAAACCAUCCAUUUGCGGCUUGUAGUGUGUGGAAUCUGAGCUUUCAUCAAUUUCUAGGCGAAACAUCACUUCGUUCGUGAAAGUACCAUCAAAGAGAUUAUGAAUAAUCUACUAGGAACAAUCAUUUAUCAUAAUUAAAGAAACUAUUGUAUUCCUACUCAAAAUCUGUUGUAUUCCUACUUUUCACCCAAGCAUACCAAGCUGCCAUAGAUUCUAUGUUGCUUGGGUUUAGCUUAACUAAUUCUGUCUUACUCUUAAUUGAACGCACACGAGAGAUGAGCUUAGAUUUAGACAACCUCCACAAAGAACUCAUUUGUUUAAAAACAGCAUCCUUUUGCCAAUCUUCUUUCAAAUUGAACCUCCCCUACAAUAAUGAAUAAUGUUAAAGACAAACUGUUAUUAGUAUAAUAUAAAUCUAAUAUGAAAUUAUGCCUGAAUCUCUUCCCAUAGUGUGUCUCUAGUCUGAUCAGGCAAGUGCCUCCAAACAUCAAGCAAGACAGGUACAUGUUCUCUUACAAGCGGCCCAAGGAAGGAUGAAAUUGUCACUGAUUCAUCACCUAUAUGUUCACCAAUAGAUGUAAAUUCAACUUCUAUCUCGUCAUCAUGGUGUUUUGAAAUUUUACAGAUUCUAGUUGGUCCUCGUGUUUUCCUUUGCUUGUUAUCUGACUGUUGGGUGUGAAUUUCUUUAGGGGAAGGAGGCAAAGUAUCAUCUACAUCACACGGCUGAGAGAUAUCCUCUUCUCCAUCUUUCUCUACAAUUAGCUCUUCAUUGCUAGGUUCUUUAUUCUCUUCCUCAUCUGAAGCCACUUCUUCAUUGGUAUUAAGUUGAUCACGGUACUCUUUUGCAGCCAUUUUUUCAUUGGUACUAAGUUGAACAAGGCAUUAACAAGUUCCUCCUCGUUAGCCAAGUCAGAACCAAGUACAUCAGUAACAUUCUCAUGCUCUGGAAUCUCAACCUGAUUUUUUUGUCUCUUAUAUGUUUCUUCAAUCCUACUUCAGAACCCAGGUCAAUGCCUAGUUGACGUUUCUUGCGACAAGGUUUGGUCUUCUCACUUUUAGUUGACAUGUUGGAUCACCUCAAACACAACCAAGUGUUAAUAACAAUCACAAAACACAUAAUUUUAAGAAAUAUCAGUUUCAUUACUAGUAGCACUAACACAUAAACUGUCACAAACCCACUAUUAAUCCAUUAGUAAGACCCCUUCACAAUCAUUCCUAACACAGAAACUCUAAUCAUUAGAGGAUUGAUUGUCCAAAUAUUCAAGUUCUUGGAUUGGUACUGAUGCAGAAAAAAACUCUACUUCUGUCUUUAACUCGUGAAAUUCUCUUGGUGGCGCCUUCAUUACCAUAUACCAAGGGGAGGACUCAUCUUCUCUUGAAUAGAAAAUAUGCUAUCCUUGAGCUACUGGAAUAUAAGGAUCUUGAAGGAAUGCAAAUUGGUUUAAAUGGAGGUUCACAAGAGUGAAUAAGUCUUCUUCUUUAACACCAUUCCCUUUAUUGGCCCACUUACACUUGAAUAUGGGAACUUGGAACAUAUGAUAGUCCAAUAGAAGGAUCUCCUUUAUCACUCCAUAGUGUGUAACUAUAUCAGCCUUUUGUCUAGUAUCCUUGGCACUGGAUCUACACAUACUAAAAGCUUCAUAUGUGACUCUACAAUUUUUUCUUCCUUUUCAUGUCGUCUGUGUGAAACCUAUGUCCAUUAAUGACAUAGCCCUUGUAUGUCUGAGUAAUAUGCCGUCUGUGUGAAACCAAACGUGUCCAGCUUGCACCCGAUUCAGCUCACUUAAGACCGACUUAGUAUUUUGUCAUUUUGUGUUUUAGGGUUUUGAGAACCCACUAUAAGUAAGGACCAUUGGUCAUUAAGAACAAAAAUCGAGUUUUCAUUAGGGUUUUUCUUUGUAGCCAACAAACUUUCCAGAAACUUGUAAUCUUAUUAUCUCUUGAUCUAUUGAGUUUUUGCUGUUGCUUAUCUGUAUUAUCUUCCUCCUUUAGAGUUUUUUGGGUUUAUGCUUUUUACUAUAAUUUGUAGAUUUGAGUAGUGUUCUUAGCUUUUAGGGAUGAUGUAGAUCUGUG
rnacentral:lncRNA from 1 species